GAUGAACGCUGGCGGCGUGCCUAAUACAUGCAAGUCGAACGCUGGAGAUCUAGCUUGCUAGAUCGAAGGAGUGGCGAACGGGUGAGUAAUACAUAAGCAACCUACCCACGAAGACUGGGAUAAUCUCUGGAAACGGGGACUAAUACCGGAUAGGUAAUCGGAAGGCAUCUUCUGGUUAUUAAAGGUUAAAAACACUGGUGGAUGGGCUUAUGGCGCAUUAGUUAGUUGGCGAGGUAACGGCCCACCAAGACGAUGAUGCGUAGCCGGCCUGAGAGGGUGAACGGCCACAUUGGGACUGAGACACGGCCCAGACUCCUACGGGAGGCAGCAGUAGGGAAUUUUCGGCAAUGGGGGCAACCCUGACCGAGCAACGCCGCGUGAGUGAAGACGGCCUUCGGGUUGUAAAGCUCUGUUGUAAGGGAAGAACGGUAGAUAGAGAAUAUCUAAGUGACGGUACCUUACCAGAAAGCCACGGCUAACUACGUGCCAGCAGCCGCGGUAAUACGUAGGUGGCGAGCGUUAUCCGGAAUUAUUGGGCGUAAAGGGUGCGUAGGCGGCCUGUUAAGUAAGUGGUUAAAUUGUUGGGCUCAACCCAAUCCAGCCACUUAAACUGGCAGGCUAGAGUAUUGGAGAGGCAAGUGGAAUUCCAUGUGUAGCGGUAAAAUGCGUAGAUAUAUGGAGGAACACCAGUGGCGAAGGCGGCUUGCUAGCCAAAGACUGACGCUCAUGCACGAAAGCGUGGGGGAGCAAAUAGG
rnacentral:rRNA from 1 species